AUCAGCCAGAGUGGUAUUUAGUAAGAGAUCCUGGUCCACUUGUUGUUUUGUAUUUUGCUCCUGGAUGCACUGGGAUGCUUUCAACCUGGAAAUCAGGAUCAUCCAUCGAUCACAUUGCCUUUUUUCCUGAUUGUAUUAUAAAUACUGUUGGCUGAUUGGGAUAAGGUGAGGCUGAUGCAUCAGCAAGUGGGGGAGUGGAGUUGACCAGGAAUGAACAGAGCCUCAUGAGGUGCUACACGAACAGUGAAGGACAGAAAGUUCGACUGGGUAUCUGAUCAUGUUAAAUAACUUCCACCAUGGUUUGUAUAUUCCAGCUGUGUGUCAUGCCUCUUUUGUGUCGCAAGUGCCAAAAAUACAUUUUGAUACACUGAUGCAUCUUUGCUCUUAUCCCCUUCAACAAGCCUCCUCUCUCCUCUCUCCUCUCUCUCCUUGAGAUACAUUUUGGGAAAUGAGACAUCUUUUAAUAUGGUGCACCAAGAUUGAUGUCCAGGUCACAAGCAUGGAGACAGAGGAGAGAGGAGAAGGGGGGGGACCAAAUAGAGAGAUGAGAAGAGCCCAGCGGAGGGGAAAACAGGAAAUACAAAGAAAUGGAAAAGUUUGGAGACAUGGUCAAGACUGUGACAUUCUCUUGGCUGCAUUUGGAUUGAAGAAAAUCUAUUACUUCAACAAACUGUCAACCACCUGUUGUCUACAAGCAAAACCCUGCAACAUAACCUGAAUAUGGUCAUUUUUAAUAUUUUUUCUUAUUCCAGGCUAAGUAUUUAUAUGACUAGUUUAGCUCUCAGUACUUAGCGUACAUUGCAUUGUUCGUCUUGCAUUUUUGAGGACCAAAUAUAUUUGGAAAUUUGCCCUCUCUUGAAAUGCCCAGCAUUUGAGACUGUGCUAA